rnacentral:lncRNA from 1 species
AUCCUAGGAAGGCAGAGGGCACUUUGAGUUAAUUCAGAGCGUGCAGAGGGCCGGAUCUGUCACAACAGCCUCCUCGUAGUGCCCUAAUACGUCCGACCCUCCCAGCAUCAGGUGGCUCCGCUAAACGUCCUCUCCUCUGAGUACUGGGCAAUUAAUUAAUCCAGGAAUGCAAAUCCUAAAUCCCGGGCUAAGAAAAUACGAACUGAUUUGGUAAACAAAUGGUAGGUAAAAGCUACACACACAGAGAGUGGCAAGUGACAAAGGAGAUUGCAAAUGCCCCCAAACACUCUCUCCCAUCGAUUGGCAGAGAGAAUCACACACAUAACACAGGAGACGGAGCAUAAAAUUGGGCGGACUGAUUCAGAGGUUUGUUUUGAUUUUUAAACUCAUUUACUAAAAAAUAAAAUGAGUGUGCGUCCGUGUGGGGCGGGGGGACAGGAUUCCCUAACGCAAAGGGGCUGUCGGCAGACGGUGUACAAGCGAAAGCGCGCUCCCUAAAUCUGCAAAGCACUAAAUGUAGAGAAACGCGCAAUUACCCUGGGACCCGCCCGGAGAAGGCAGCCUCCGGAGUCGCAGGCGAUCGCGUCCCCGCCGGAGGAACGCUAACGUGCGGACUGCACCUUGCAGAGACUGCCUGAGGUCUUGAAUUCAGGAGUCCACGAAUAAAUCUACAGCUCCCAACCGUUCGGAUUGGAUGCCUUUCGAGGCCCCGCUUGGUUCCACUCUUGCUUGCCUUAGGCUGCCCACGUCGGCUUAGAAACAUUUCCACGGGUCCUGUUCUCGGGAUAUUUUCUAUUUCUGAACAUGUAAAGCGCACAAAGGACCCGAGAUGCAGUGAAGGGACGGCUAUUCCAGGAGAAAAUGAUGGGAAUGAGCGUGGACGUGGGAGUGCCCUGAUCACCGUGGGUUCUGGGGCGGGGGCCAGAGAAGGACACACAGCUGAGACGACCCAAGUGGCCUGCGGCGACGGGCAGCGCGUCCCAAGUGGAGCGCCAAGGCCCGGGCUCAGCCUUGGCCCGCUCCGCCCCUUUCUAAGGCUCCUCGGUGGCUUAGGGCCACCGGGGCCAGCUGUCUCCGGCUCCUGAGGCGACCCGCUCCAGCCCCCAAGAAGGAGGUUCCGACAGCCCCCAGGAUACCCGAUCUACCUGGUUUUCUACCAACGCAGACCGGAGGAACUGCAGCUCUAUCCAGAGAUGAGUUUUAAGGGUCACUCGAAAUCGAGCCGCUGAGAGGACGGCCUUUUGGGGAGAACAGUUAAAAGAAAAAUUCCCGAACACCUAGGUUCUGCCCGGUGCUAACAGGCGUAUACGAACCCCGGCCUCGACAGUUUCUGAGACCCCGGACCUUGAGAAGCAAACCUGUUCCCAAGCCCUGAAUGCCCGCCUUGGAAAAGUACAAAAAGAAAACUCUGCUUUUUUCCAAAAUAAAAACUCCUUCCCCGCAAACGAUUUUGGAAAA